rnacentral:lncRNA from 1 species
UGGUCCUUUGAUGUUCGAAUGUGGACCUGUUUUCACCUGUGCACAAGAACCUUGUGAUUAGCACUUUAGGAAAUUAGAUCAUUGUGUGAAUAACAUGACCUACUAUUAUAACUCAUAUGUGGAAAUAUGGUAAAUUGGUCUCCAGAUAUUUAUACAUAUGGAGUCACCACAUUUUCACAUGGUUUGUCAAGAUUCCUGUUAUUGAUAGAAAUUUCCUUUUCUUCAAGUGCUGAUAUUUUCCUGAGAUUAUUGUUUCCUAUGCACAUUUGUUUUUCAUCUUGUAUAUCAGAUGAUUGCUUUGGUUUACUGCUGUGCCUUGAACCAUUGACUGAUAUACCAUAGUACUUCACUUUGAUGAAUGAUGCACGAGUACAUAUGUUUUGCACGUGUGGUAUGCCAUGUUUCAUGGGACUAAUUUGCCACCUUGUUUGGAGUUACAGAUUUGAAAGGCCAGACUUCCCUCUUUUAUUCUCUGGGGCGUCUCCUUUAGUGGGAUCGUAAGU